AUGGAAACACACCCAGACACCCUACAGUUUCAGUUCGAUUAACAAACGCAAUACGCCAAUGAGGCAACUCAUGGCGGGUCCCCCAGGCUUGGCCAUGGCCCCUCUACAACUUCCCUCUCUCUCUCUCUCUCUCCUGAGAGGCGGAUCGGCGACAGAGGGGAGACGCUCAGUCUACACACAUCGGCAAAGGGCACUCGAGUGGGUGGAGUGUGGCGAGGAGGGGGACGACGGCGCCAUUGCGACGGAGCGAGGGGACAGGUCACAGGUGAGACCCGACCUCUGGCCAUCUCUUCGUUUCUCUCCCUAAUUUCACGACCAUUCAACUGCCACACGGGGAAUCAGUUCAUGGGUAUUUCCUAUCGGGGCGACAAGUUCCUGUACUAACCAGCGAACACCAUCGAUGGAGUUCAGGAGGUGUCGGAUCCGUCAUCAUUAGGGCUGGUUUGGUGAAGAAAUUGAGCGGGAUUGAGGGGGAAAUUAGUUCAUUUCCCCCUUAAUCCUUUCUAAUCUCCCUCAAUCCCCUUGUCACCAAACCUACCCUUUACAAAGACCAGAAUCCUGGUGGAUAAGCCUGGGGGCGUUAGUUAGCUGGUCGCUAAAUCCAAAAAUUCCUCUUCCGCAGAAAAAGAAACCCAACAAUUCCUGCAUUCUUAAGAUUUGCAUUUAGGCACGAAAUAAUUUUACAACAAUCAUCAGGAGGAAAAAAGAAUCUUGUUCUGGGAGUGCUUGCGUUCUAGCCAAGACAUUUACAAAUGAAAUACCAUAGUUAAUAUGAUAUUUUUCACAGAUUGAUCGCGGUUAGCUUCUGAUAUGGUCAGUAUUUCCAGUUCUAGUACCACCUAGAUUUGUAGCCUGAUCUAGCAUUCUAGCAACCUCUUCCAAGCAUCUUUCCAGGGGGAUCAACUCGGUCAGGCCUUGCCAGAAGUCUGUAGUUUCACUACCAGCGGCAUCGUCACGCGAGCAUCACUUCCAUUUCCAUGCCAAGACAAAGAGCCAAAAACGUAACCUCGAGGAGGCACAUCCACGUGUAAGCUAACUGCGAACAUCCUCUUUUCACCAUAGCUCUUGAAAUUUAUGACUUCUGGUGUCACUCUCACGCUGGUUCCUGGCGGAGCUGACACCACAGCAUGGUAAGUACUCCUUGGAUUGCCCACAUUAGUCAUUGUUCGCGUCACCGAAUAGCUCUGCUUCAGAUACGGAACGGUGAUCGACGGGUAGUUCAGAGCAGUGGCAGAAGAGGAGGCUCUGUGGGUGCAGCUACUGUUGUCUCCGGUGAUUAGAUGCACGGAGUGGUCAUCGCGGCUUAUUAUGGCACAUAAGAAUGACUUGUAGUCUUCAGGAUGUGUAUCGAAGAUGAUCCCUGGGCUGAGAGCUUUGACGGGGUCCAUAAAACCCGAGCCAAAGUCAAACGGCGUUGCAGCCCCCCCAUUGGGGUCCCUUGCUAUGGUUUUCCUUUUGGUGUCCAGUACGGUUGCUGCAAACAAGAUUCAUGAGUCGACAGGUUGCAACACUAGUUUGUCAUCUUCGGAGAUCUCAGGUUACGCGCUAAUAUACCUGUUGUCAUGAUUGCCGAUUUGAUGCCUGAAGGAGACCAUGACGGAUACACGCUCUUCACGAGAGCUGCUAUUCCUGUAACGUGCGGACAUGCCAUGGAAGUUCCAGAUAGAACGUUGAAGCGCAUACCGUUCUUGGCAGGAGACCACGCCGCCAAGAUGUUCAGCCCAGGAGCAGCAACAUCUGGCUACAAAAAAAAAGCACACAUGGAGAAGAAACUGAGGAGGACGUCAAUCAGUUUAUUUAUCACCUGUAUUAGUCUUUCCCAGCGGUUUAGUGCUAGUCGUUACCUUCAGAAUCUCAGGUGUCAGUGAGCUCGGACCUCUCGAAGAGAACGCCGCUACUCGCGGGGCGUCUCGCAGCCCUAAGACCGUCUUUGCCGGCAAGAUCAGUGUGCAGGCACGCCUGUAGAAUUGCUAUUAGACAAAAAAAGAUUGGCAUGCCAAUGAAAUGCACGCUUUCCUAUAUAUAGUAAAGUUCAGACAACCUUGUGCUCUUGACAUAAGAAACAAUUUUAUCACCCAUGGCUUUCCCAACAGUUACUCCAGGCACAGCAAAGCGAUUAGCGACAUGAUCCUCCAUCUCAUCGAUGAGGAUCAUCCCAGCCGCACCAGCUUCCUUCACAACCAUGCUCGUCGAUAGACGUGACUCGGAGGAGCCUUGGUUACGGCGGCAGAUAAGGAUCUUUCCCUUGGCCUUGGUCCUGUUCAAAGAGCUAUCCAGGCACAAGCUGACACCAAGUCCACAAGAAAUUUUCAGUUGGGCUGACAAUCCAAAUCAUGAUUAUCUUUCGAGAUAAUAGUUGUUUAUUGUUUACCUGGACUGGUAAGGGGUGAAAUAGCCUGCGUUGACUUCCGAAGCUGCGAUGGUUCUGACGGGAGUUUCCAUGCGGUACGUACUCAGGCUCUCACCCUUAAUUAAGACCGCAUAUAAUAAGUAGUGUUCCGCAUAUAAAGACUGGAGGCGUCGUUUUUAAGAGUGGGAAGGGAAUUUACCAUUACGGAGGUACCGUUUGCCAGGCUGACAUACGAAGAGAACGAUCUGUCAGUCGUUCCUGCAGCCACCGUGAGCAUCCACGGCGCGAGGUUAGUCGCCGAGCCCUGUCUCCCGGCGUUCCCCGCCGAGGAAACGACCAGUAUCCCGUUGCUCGUCGCGUGGAACGACCCGAUGGAUAUGGCGUCGCUGAGGUAGUCGCCCUGGGGGUAGUCUGGGCCUAGCGACACAGAUAUAAUGUCGACGCCGUCUCUGAUGGCAUCGUCGAACGCCGCGAGAAUGUCAACAUCGUAGCAGCCAGUUUCCCAGCAGGCCUUGUAGGCUGCAAUCCUUGCCAUGGGGGCUCCUCCCCGCCCUCCUCCGGUGCCCAGACCACCUCCGUAGCUCAUGUCCCUGACAAACCUUCCGGCCGCUAUCGAGGCAGUGUGGCUGCCAUGCCCCGAGCUGUCCCUUGGAGAUACGAACUUGAUGGCGCCACCCUCUUCUGUUUGGUAUCCGCUGAGGUAAUAUCUGCCUCCUAUUACCUUCCUAUCGUGCAUGUUUGGGGGGUGGCUUUAGAAAAUUCCAAUGCUGGAAUACCGUACCGUGGGUUGGUUUUAGAGCGUGUGUACCUGUUGCAGGUGAAAUUUGACGGUGAGUUCGCGUCUCCUCCUUGGCAUUGCCCUCUCCAUCUUUUGGGAACCGGAGGCAUCCCGUGGUCACUGAAACUAGGGGAUUCUGGCCAGAUUCCUGAGGAGGUAAAAAAAAAACAAAACAAAACAGUUAGCUAGAAUUCCAUGAUUUUGGUUUCUAUCGAUCCGAUGGUAUCCUUUUUCGUUUCUGUCCGAACAGUCAUUUGAUGGCCAAGUCGGUCGAACAUGAAAACACAAACAUCAUGCCUUGUCAGUUUGUAAGCUAGAACACAACUGGAACUAAUAUGGUGGAAGAGAAGAUAUAUAUUCUUUUGGUGUCACAUGAUCUGACUGAAGAAUGCGAGUUCCAGUUUGAACCUAGCUAGCUUAGUAUACAUGUUACUGCAAUUGUACUCCAUCACCUGUAUCGAUGAAUCCAACAAUGACGUUCUCCUGGUUCUCGGUGGACAGUCCAGGGACCUGACCCUCUGCACUGGUGGACAAGCCCAUGAAAUCCCAGGAAUGGGUGGUGCGCAGUCGCCUCUUUGUGUUUGGGAACACCGAGACGACGCCAGGCAUCUCUGAAGAAAUUGAAGACGCGCAUCAGAAUUAUUAGGCGCCUUUUUGGCAUCACAGCUAGCUAGACUCAUUUAGGGGCCGUCUGUUUGGGAAAUGAAACCCGUAUAAUCUACUCAGACUAUGAUGUAAUCUAACUUGUUUUGGACCAAGAUUAAAUUCUAAAAGAGUAGCCUGUGUUGUGAAACUAAUUACCGGCUAAUCUGAUGGCCUGCUUUUCGUUCAGUUUGGCCGCGAAGCCCUGGAAGCCGGCGCUGUAAGUGUAGACGUGUGAUGCCUGCGCCUUCUCCGAGCUGCGGAGAGGAAGCGUCCGACUCAAGAUAUAUAUAUACUGCUGCAUGGAAACGGCACUGGGAGGUGGGAGCUAGCUAGCUAAGCCUAGGAGGGGUUAUGGAGGAAGGAAUUCAAAUUAACGAGUCUGCUGUGGACCUGCCGUCGUGAACAGCCGUCAGCAUCUGGCGGUGCAGCCCGGCGUGUCGUCGUCGACGGGGUGCCCUGUCGCCCUGCGGCGCUUUGCCCAUGUAGACCACGUACACCUGAAGGAAGAGUUGGCAUCAUCCAUCCAUUUGCUAGCUACUACAGAAGUGCAGCUGACCACCACCGUGGAGAUAUAAUAUAAGCAUAUCGGCGUGCGUUGGAGUAGGCACCUGAGAGGCAGAGCAGCGGCGAAGGUCGUCGCCCAGUAGCGCCAGGGACAGCGCGAGGAAGAACAUGGCUGUGCGUGGAGAAGAAGCCAUGGCAGACACGGUCGGACACCAGCUAGCGCAGAUACAGCGGGUUUGGAUGGAUUGGCAAGCGUGUACCGACGAGUACGAGAGACCUAGACACCCCACCAGCUGCUGUAUAUGUAUGUAUGUAUGAGACUGAGACUGAGACUGAGACUGAGAGCUAGCAGCAGCCAGCAGCUUCCUGAAACCGCUGCCAAGUUUACUGGAGCAGAGAGCCUGCGCACUGACCGGAAUCCCGGUUUGUUUGUGUGGCCGUUAUUCCUGCGCUUUUCUUCGUCGGCCGAGAUGGCAACAAGAGUACAUAAAUAAAUGCGGACAAAGAUGUCAUGAUGCGGUAUGGGAGCCAAGGAGGGUCGGCUAGUGAGAGCAGACAAACAGGGCAUCCGAUCUUUGGAGAUAUACAAGGAACAUGCAUGUAGAUUGUAGGGUGGCUGCUUGCUUUCGUGGACAUACCUGUGUGUGUCAUGUAUGCAGAUAUGAGGUAUAAUAGGUGUAUUUAUUUCUUAUUAUUGUCGUAGAUCGGUGUGCCACCUGCCAUCGUGUGUCUAUAGUCUAUAUAUCUAUCUAUAUAUAUAGAUAGAGAGAGAAAGAAUAAAGUGAUACAAGGAGUAUAUAUCUUUCUGUCAGAGCUGGAUCUGUUUUCCCAUCCUGCUCUUUUGCAACAGUAACUAAAUUAUUACUGCUACAUCUAUUUUAUCCUGUGUGUACACGUCUUGUCAAGUGAUAACGUGUACAGUAUACAAUAACACAUUCUACAUGCUGAGGGUCACGGUUCCUUUCCGUAAAGGCAGUGCGAGGGUUAUAUUCUUCUUCUUGUUAAAAAUAAUAAUAAAAAAGAGAGGGUGAUAUCGUUCUGGAGGAACACAGUGCAGUGCAGCAUCAGUUCCUUUUCCAGAGCCGCCGUUUUUACCCGUGACCUCGUGCCUCCGCGGCGCGUCCUCAUCCGUCCAAACGGCACUGCACCUGCACGCGUUCCGUUGCUGCACGGUAUGAGCUAGUGGAGUUCAUACCGUUGGUGAGACAUAUCCUUGAGUCUUUUAGCUAGUAAAGCUAACGUACGCCAUGUGCGCGGCAUAGUUUGACGCAAGCUCGAGUGUAUAUAUAUAACCCAAUGCCAGUAGUAGGGUUAAUAGUAGAACGCACAAGAGGCGACGCAUAGUUUUAAGCUCGUUGGCGGCGGCUUUUGUACCUUUUUUUCAUAAAGAAAAAAUUCUUUUAACUACGGGCCUGCUUUUAUGCUCCCUUGUCCUAGUGCUUAAUCCAUAACUGCUUAACAUAAUCGUCUUUCGACCGUAGCCUCGACCGUUGUUUUCUCUUUCUCGCAUAGUCGUAGGUGCGAGCUCCGCGCCAAGUAUUUGCUUAUUUCUUUUAUGUCAAUGAACAUGGUGAGAUUAUUUAUGAUACGAUAUUUCCCUUUUGAUUAUGAUGAUGAUACUGUGACAUUUAAGGGGACUCGAGCGGUUUCUCGAGUGCCUCUCCGUAAGUACUGGUUCGUUGGAUGAUCACCCAGGAAAACAGUACAACCAUGAGGGUGGUAUGUGACGCCCUUAGCUGAAUAAUUUGAGAAACCGAGAUGUAGUUCGCUUCGUCGUCGUGCCGUCAAUGGGGCUCGGUGUAUGCGGCUCGCUCUGCCGAGGGUGGUUUACCCAUUGGGGAGGAGUGUCGUACAUUUAGGAAAUCUAACGGGCGACUACAGCCUCAGGGAAUCUUUGUAAAGGUUACAUAGUGAAACCUUGCCGAUUCACCUUGGUAGUGUUUAAGGGUUUGAUCGGUCCGAGGCAAAAAAGGAAUCACGACUCGUGGGUAAAGUGUGCAACCUCUGCAGAGUGUUAUAAAACUGAUAUAUCAGCCGUGCUCGCGGUUAUGAGCGGCAUUGGGAGCUCCACUGAUUAGAGACACAUUGAAUCAGAGAUACUUUGUUUAUAGAUGAUGAUGAGGAUAAUCAUUGUUCUUAUGAUUAUGAUUAUGAUUUCUGGUAUUCUUUCUGUUUGAAAGGAGUACUUUUGGGUUAACAACUUGGGUUAAUGCUAAAAUAUGGCUCUCUACUAGUAAUAAUUACCUGACCAACUAAAAGCAACUGCUCGAUCUUAACCCCACAUAAAGCUAGUCCACUACAGCCAAACGGGACAAUUGCUGAGUAUGUUGACGUGUACUCACCCUUGCUUUACACACCAAACCCCCAGGUUCUCCAUAUUGCAACUACUGCUCAGGAGAAGAUGAAGUCGUGGUGGAGGAUUUCCAGGAGUUCCAAGAGUACGAUGAGUUCUAGGCGUGGAUUAGCGGUAAACCCCCAGUCGGCUGCCUGUGAAGGCCGUGUUUAGCUACGUUUCGUUUUUGCACUUUGAUAUAUGUUAAUGACUAUGUGGAUGUCUCGGACAUCAUGAUGUAAUAAACUAUUACCCUCUUUUAUGUUAUUAUUUGAGCACUGUGUGAUGAUGUUCGGUUAUGUAACUGCUGUGUACGUGAAUUGCUGAUCCUGACACGUACAUGGUUUGCAUUCGGUUUGCCUUCUAAAACCGGGUGUGACAUGUUUGCCCCUUGGGGAGGAGUGCGGUACAUUUAGAAAACCUAACGGGCGACUACAACUUCAGGAAAUCUUUGUAAAGGCUACAUAGUGAAACCUUCCCUAUUCACCUUGGUAGUGUUUAAGGGUUUGAUCGGCCCGAGGCAAAAAAGAAUCACAACUCAUGAGUAAAGUGUGCAACCUCUACAGAGUGUUAUGAAACUGAUAUAUCAGUCGUGCUCACGGUUAUGAGCGGCCUUGGGAGCUCCAUUGAUUAGAGAUACUAUGAUUACAGAUGAUGAGGAGGAUAAUUAUGGUUUUGAUGAUUAUGAUUAUGGUUUCUGAAAUUCUUUCUAUUUGAAAGGAGUACUUUUGGAUUAAUAACUUGGGUUUAAUGCUAAAACCUGACUUUAUACUAGUAAUAAUUAUCUGACCAACUAAAAUCAACGGCUUGAUCUUAACCCCACAUAAAGCUAGUCCACCACAACCAAACGAGACAAUUGCUGAGUAUAUUGAUGCAUACUCACCCUUUCUUUACAACACCAAACCCCACCUCCCAGGUUGUCCACAUUGCAACCACUGCUCAGGAGAAGAGGAAAGUCGUGGUAGAGGAUUUUUCCAGAUGUUCCAAAACUAUGAUGAGUUCUAGGCGUGGGUUAGCGGCAAACCCCCAGUCGGCUGCUUGUGAAUGUCGUGUUUAGCUACGUUUCGUUUUCGCACUUUGAUCUAUGUUAAUGACUUUGUGGAUGUCUCGGGCAUCAUGAUGUAAUCAAACUAUUACCUCUCUUAUAUUAUUAUUUGAGCACUGUGUGAUGAUGUCUGGUUAUGUAAAUUGUAUUGUACGUGAAUUGCUGAUCCUAUCACGUACAUGGUUCACAUUUAUUUUGUCUUCUAAAACCGGGUAUGACACCCCCCACAGGUGAAGAGCAGAUGCCCCCGAGGAGGACUACUAUGACGAGUUCGACGAGAUCUAGGUGUCGUCUACCAGUCAGCUUGAUGGCGUCGUGG
rnacentral:lncRNA from 1 species